rnacentral:lncRNA from 1 species
UUGCUGUCUUAUCAGCUGUAUCGUCUGCUCCAUCUAUACCACCCACUCCAUCAUCUGGAUGUAGAGCUGCUGAUACUCGUCGAUGCGUGUAGCAAACUCCUGAGCUCACUGCUCAGCCUGCUGUCGAUCUGUAGCAGUCUGUUGUCGAUCUGUAGCAGCCUGCCUCUGCACCUCCAUCAGCCGAGCCUCGCAUGUAGAAUGGAUGUCAGCCCUAGUUGAGCAUAAGGAUGAGGGAGCAGUGAUCCCAUACCCUAAACCUCUAACAUAACAGGAUCUCAUACCGAGCACCCGAUCACAGAUCUCAUCAUCUGUGGGUGUGGUCGAGCCC